UAGAAGUUUUAUUCUUGCUUUUCCGUUCAAUUUAUUUUUGUUCUAUAUGUAAGUUUAUGCGUGAUUUCUUAUGAUUCUAGAUGGAUUGUUGGAGAUAAUUUUUUAUUCUCAUUAGUUAUGAUUGGUUGAUCAAAUAUUUUUGUAUCCAGCAAUAUAUUUUAGUUUCGGUUAAAUUUUGUGCCAGCAGCCGCGGUUAUACCUUGGAAGCGUUUGAAUGUGUUUGGCUUUGUAGUUAUAUUAUAUUAUAUGGUUGAUAUUGUUUUUUGUGGUUUUUAGGUGAAAUUUUUAUUUUUGUUGUUUAUCGCUUAUAAGUUUGGAAGCUGUGAAAUUCUUUUUAUAGACUAGGAUUAGAUACCCUAUUAUUUUGGAAUGUUAAUUUUUGUGCUUGAGUAGUAUUAGUUAUGUUCUUGAAACUUAAAGAAUUUGGCGGUAUCUCAUUCCAUUCAGAGGAAUCUGUCUCGUUAUCGAUAGUCCGCGUUGGACCUUACUUAGGUUGUUUUAUGGUUUGUAUACCGCCGUUUAUUGAUUAUCUUUUUAGGGUUAAGUGAUUUUCUUGUUUCUUUAUUUUGAUUUAUUUCAGGUCAAGGUGCAGCUUGUUUCUAAGUGUAUGAUGGAUUACAUUGUUAUUUGUUUUUGGAUUGUUGAUUUUAAUAUUGACAUGAAAUUGGAUUUGGUUGUAAUGGUUUGUAGAUUGUUUUUAUGAUAUUGGUUUUGGGAUAUGUACACAUCGCCCGUCGCUCUCGUUUAAUUAUUAAUGAGAUAAGUCGUAACAAAGUGGUUGUACCGGAAGGUGCAGCUGGAUUGAA
rnacentral:ncRNA from 1 species